GUUGUGCAAGUGGUGCAGUUACUGUGGAUAGUUAUAGAUGGGUUUGGAUAGGUUUUCUUAACGGCAACUAUAAGCCUGCCGUCGUCGAGGGAACCUCUGUAAACAGUGCCAUGGCUGCCUUUCCCAAGAAAGCUCUCCGCGGAGAACCCAUUGGUGGCUUUUACUAGUUCCGGGUAAGUGAACUCCCUGAUCUUAAUGGGCUUAUUGGGUUUGUUUCCGUUGGUUUUAUUUUUCCUUCUCUUGCGAUCCCAGUUGUAGGGAUCGCAGGUGGCUAUUGCAGACUCUGCAUUGCAAGAGAGAUAACCCAUAAUAAUUAGAAAGAAAGAGAGAGCGAGAGUAGAAAUUAUUCAGGAGAGUUGCCUAGGACACAGAAAAAAGGAAGGUGAGAAAGAAAAGGAAAGAAGUGGAGGUGGGAAACGAGAGCGGCGAAAUCCAUUACUACAAGAUGAAGGGUUAUGGUGAUGUGGGUGGGGAAGUGUAAAGGUGUGUACUGUUUUACAGCUUUGGGCAAAGAGAGAGAGAGAGAGAGAGAGAGA
rnacentral:misc_RNA from 1 species